UGGGGAAUAUUGCACAAUGGGCGCAAGCCUGAUGCAUCAACGCCGCGUGAACGAUGAAGGUCUUCGGAUCGUAAAGUUCUGUUGCAGGGGAAGAUAAUGACGGUACCCUGUGAGGAAGCCCCGGCUAACUACGUGCCAGCAGCCGCGGUAAUAUGUCGGGGGCUAGCGUUAUCCGGAUUUACUGGGCGUAAAGGGUGCGUAGGUGGUCUUUCAAGUCGGUGGUUAAAGGCUACGGCUCAACCGUAGUUAGCCUCCGAAACUGGAAGACUUGAGGGAAGGAGAGGAAAAUGGAAUUCCCAGUGUAGCGGUGAAAUGCGUAGAUAUUGGGGAGAAAACCAGUAGCGAAGGCGGCGUUCUGGACUGCAACUGACACUGAUGCAGGAAAGCGUGGGUAGCAAACAGG
rnacentral:rRNA from 1 species